UACGUAGGGGGCAAGCGUUGUUCGGAAUUACUGGGCGUAAAGGGCGCGUAGGCGGCAUGGCAAGUCGGGAGUGAAAGGCCUGGGCUCAACCGAGGAACUGCUUUCGAGACUGCCAAGCUAGAGUGCGGAAGGGGCAUCUGGAAUUCCCAGUGUAGCGGUGAAAUGCGUAGAUAUUGGGAAGAACACCUGAGGCGAAGGCGGGAUGCUGGGCCGACACUGACGCUGAGGCGCGAAAGCGUGGGGAGCAAACGGG
rnacentral:rRNA from 1 species